UCUACGAAGGAGGAGACAUUCCAGCAUACUACUCAAGCCACACCCUGAUUAAUCCACCAAUUCCUACUACUACAAGUGUAUAAAUUCUAAUCGUCAAGCUAAUGACGUUAAACAAGCGCUGCGUGGGAGGCAACCCAUGGUUUUUCUUUUCAUUUUACUUUUUUUCGCAUUUAUUUACAUUUAUUUUUAUUUUUAUUUUUAUUUUAUCUUAUUUUGCAUUGAGACUAAGAUUUGAAUGGUUUGCAUUUUCAGGAUCACUUUCCUAACUUUUACAGGAUGCAGGGUUUUGAUGACAUGCAUGUUGCCUAUAGAAGCUCAGAGGGAGCGCUACAUUGCUUUGUAUCAGCGCCCUAUGGCACCCACACGUUACCCUGAUCAGCACUGUAUGGAGGCACUGGGUAUCGAGCCG
rnacentral:lncRNA from 1 species